UUUUAUUUUUAUAGCUUUUUGUUAUGUGUUCUGGGAGGAUAAAAGGGCAAAUAUCCCCAUGGCUUUGAAGGAAAAUACAGUGAGCUGGAGGGAAUGAAAAAGAGAGUUGGAAUUCAGGAGGACAAAAAAGUGUACUCCACAUUUCCAUAGUGAAUCCAAACCAACCUUUGGUUAACAACACAGUUAUUUUCUUUGAUUAUUCUUUAGUUUUCACUUUUAUAAUGUUGUAGAGAGAAUAUCUUGAGUAUUGAAUGGAUGCAUCACCUGUCAUUUAAAAAACAUAUGGCCUAUCGGAAAGGGUAAACUGGAAGGUGGGACAUCCGGGAGACAGAAAGAAUUAUGGGAUAGAGCCCGGCACAGAGAUUGGCCCGGAAGAUGUGAGAAAUCAGACGUAGGGCACCUAAGCACUGGAAACCAGCUACAUGGCAGAAUAAGUGGGAGUGUGGAGAGCUGUUGGAAUUUGAAAGCUGAAGACAGAGGAAGAGUAGUAUUUCUGUCGUCACUGGGAUACCCUGAUUUGCUGAGAGCACGAUUUCAUUUCCAAACUCCGGCUGCUGAAACAGGAAUUUCACUGCAUAAACACAGAAGCCAUUGAGGUCUUAUUAGAGGCCGUUGAGUGAGGAGACUUUUGGAAGGGAUACAAACAUUAGUCCCUUAUUUUCUGCCUCCUGUUGAAGAUUUUCACAGCAGGGUGACUGGAAUCUAUGAAGGCAACUUUGUGAGUUAAGGGCUAAAGACCAUGUGGACAACAGGGUACAGCCAUGGAAAACCUUAAAAGCUGAUCUCAGGAAUGCCUGUGAGAAUCUGGACUGCCAACCGUGAUAUACAAACAUUCUGCUUGGAAACAGAGAGGUGCUUCCCUGUAUCUUUACUAGAAGGACUCUGUGGAACACUCACGACCCAUUCCUAUACAGAUAGCAGCUGGAUCAUGUGCCUCUCUAUAGCAAAUGGACAAAAAGGGGAGGCAGAGAUGACUCUUUGUAAGGCAAUCAUCUCUGCUGGGUCAUGGAAGACCAGGGGCAAUUUUCAGGGAUCCCCAGAAUGACUUUCUGUCUGUGUCAAAACAGGAUCUCCAUCAACACCUGUCAUUGCCUUUCGGAGGUCUUUUAGAGUAUGAAUUGGUCUGUUCAAACUCUCAAAUGACACCUGUAGGAAGCAUUCUACUCUUAUUACAAAUCAUUUUACUGACUUCCGAUUCAACAAUUGCUUUGGGGCAGCAGUUAAUGUCCCCAAUGUAUCAGAAGGGAUUCUAGUAACUAUUCUUUAUGUAGAGAGAACUACUCUAGUUUUGUAGAAGAAACUUCCUUUAAUCUCAACAGUCUCUUAACAAUAGGUUUAGGUCAACAGAAACACGCAGGGUACGGACAUAUUUUUUUCUCUUACUGACACAAAUCACGCGCAGAUUCAUCAAGCUGUGAAAUAUAUUAAGUUCACAGGGCUUUAACAAAGGGUUAGAAAACCACAAGAACCUGCUGUGAUUCAAACUACUUUCAGAUGUCCUUUUAAUUAUAUUAAAUGAAAGUUUGGGUUGGCUUUGAUGCUUAUGGGCAAACAAGGAAAUCCAUUGAAAGAACUGCUAAAAGUACUCCCUGUUGCUGUGGUUAAUAUACUACAUUGUAUGCACACUGCCAACCAAUUUAUUCUAGUCACUUUAACAAGGAUAUGCAGCCUGACGGGCCACACAGGAUAGUAUCACGAGUCAGGCAGAGCACAAAUCAUUAGAGGGCUAAGAAAGUUGUUUGACAUGCACCACAGAGCUCUUUGUCACACAGCCAAUUAAGUGACCAAACAAGGAACUUGAAAAUACUCAUUAAUUUCUUCCUAGCAAUAUAAAUGGAACAUAGACUCCUUCUUGUCUCGUGCACCGAAGGCACCCAAGUAAAACUGGCAUAAUUCAAUUUGCACUUUGUCAAGGGUGCGAGCAGCAACUUCGGUUCACAGAGAGUCUGAGUUAGGCGCACGGGAAUGGAAAGCAUGGGUAAAAAGUCUGCAGAUAUUUUUACUAAGGUAUAGAUUUCUGGACUCUGUGUGGAAUUCUUCAUGUCCAUCAACAGUUGGGAGCGCUUUUGCGCUUGAAUUUUUAGGUCAUGGUUUUUUGAGCAGAUGCUGCAGUCUGAGCAUCAUUUCUUCUUCCUUGGGGUGAGGCUGGAGAGUUGGCGACUCAACACCUAACAGAGCAGCAUGCCUCACUUACAGAGGACUCAAGCGCUGUUCCCAGGACCCAUGUCAAGGGAGGCACAACCACCUGGGCCUUGGUAUGGCUAAAAUCUCUAUGAUAUCGCUCUUGAAGUAAAGCAGGACUAUAGACUUUAGGGAGAACAUAUUACCCCUGAGACUUGAGGAGCAGUAGCAAAAGGGUAAAAGGUGUAUUUAUUAACUAAGAAAAUGUUUCAAUCUAAAGCAGGAAGAAAGAACACCAGUAAUUCUUAAUAGUUCUUUCUGAAGAAAAGAACAAUGUUGCUAACAAAUAUUACAAACUGAAGGGUAGAAUUUUAAAGUUGAAAAGAUGAACGACAUUAUGUGUACAUGUAUAACACAUGAGUACACUGGCUCCUAAGCAGUUUGUUUGUAUGUAUAUAUUUAUAUCCUACUUCCCAAUUCUUAUUAAAAUCACACCCAUCUGAUUGGAAGCAUAUGGUCUUUUGAUGGUUCAUGGAUUCCCAAAUGUUACACCAUCUGACUCAUGACCAGAGAGUCCUGAAUCUGCUACUAAGCUUGUGUGUUCCAGCGUGUGUGUGUGUGUGUGUGUGUGUGUGUGUGUGUGUGUGUGUGUGUGUGUGUCAGGAAGAGAGCAGAGUACCCAGGUCGAGAAGUUGGGUGAUAUGGGAAACCUGACAGAUUUUGUAAAAUCCGAAAGAAACAUAAUGUAGGACAUCACUCUGGAAACUAGUCUGAUAACUCUGUCAACAGCUUUUUCUUUUCUUAAAAUUAUGUUUAUAAAUCAGGGUGUCCUUUGAAAAUCUGUUUCUUAAUAUAGCAGUACAAUGUACUGAUAACACAGCCACUGAACAUGGAUGCAUCGUGUGUGUGUGUGUGUGUGUGUGUGUGUGUGUGUGUGUGUGUGUGUGUGUGUGUGUCUGUGUCCAUGUUCCUGUACGGGAGGGAGGGAGAGAGAUAGAGGAGGGGGUAAAGAGAGAUAAUUGUUUUAGUCUGUGCCAUUUCUGGAAUAUAGUACACAAACAUCAAUAAAUAGAAGACAAAUAAAUGACAGAUCUUGCUUCCUAUCCUCUAGUAAUUAGGUAAGUCAGGUUUCAGGGCUAUAGGAAUAAGUGAACUGUACUUAAACUUUCAAAUAAGCUUCAGAUUUCCCGGUCUCUUUGGUCAUUACUGUGUGAUCUAUGGAAAUCAAUUAACACUUGGUGAGUCUCCAUUUUCACUCUGAACAUAAUGAAAUGUAAGAGUUAUAACCAAAUGUUCUUAUAAAUAUUGAAUGAUAAGUACAAAAAUUUCUUUCUUGAAUGUGAUCUUAGAAUGCACACAAGUAAGAUAGGAAAAGUUCAGUUGGAAACCAUCCUGUCCCAAGGUAAGAUAUAAAUAAUUAAUAGAGUAGCCUGCCCCACAUGUGGCCCAUACAUAUACAGCCACCAAACUAGGUAAGAUGGAUGAAGCAAAGAAGUGCAGGCCGACAGGAACCGGAUGUAGAUCUCUCCUGAGAGACACAGCCAGAAUACAGCAAAUACAUAGGCGAAUACCAUCAUUAAACCACUGAACUGAGAACGGGACCCCCGUUGAAGGAAUAAGAGAAAGAACUGGAAGAGCUUGAAGGGGCUCGAGACCCCAUAUGUACAACAAUGCCAACCAACCAGAGCUUCCAGGGACUAAGCCACUACCCAAAGACUAUACACGGACUGACCCUGGACUCCAACCUCAUAGGUAGCAAUGAAUAGCCUAGUAAGGGCACCAGUGGAAGGGGAAGCCCUUAGUCCUGCCAAGACUGAACCCCCAGUGAAUGUGAUUGUUGGGGGAGGGCAGUAAUGGGGGAAGGAUGGGGAGGGGAACACUUAUAGAGAAGGGGAGGGAGAGGGUUUAGGGGGAUGUUAGCCCGGAAACCGGGAAAGGGAAUAUUAAUCGAAUGUAAAUAAGAAAUAAUCAAGUUAAUAAAGAUGAAAAAAAAUAGAGAAUACCUGGCAUUCUGCAGAACAAUACAUACAAAGCUGGCCUAACAAAUGUUCUUUUUUAAAAUUUCACUCUGUUUUUUAUUUUAUGUUGUGAGUUUUGUCUGCAGGCAUGUCUGUGUGGCACAAGCAUGCAAUGCUUGAAUAGGUUAGAGAAAGCCUUGGAUCCCUUCAGACUGGCGUUACAGGUAGCUGUGAGCGGCCAUGCAGUGUGAGGUAUCAUACCCAGGCCCUCUGUUCUUACUCUCAGCCAUCUCUCUGGGCCGAAUGUCCUUAUUGUUAAUAACAAACCAUCGUUGUUUUCCACCAUUGUGGGGGAGCAAAAACAAAAUGCACAUCAGGAGAGCAGUUCUGAUGUUAUCAGCAUUAGUUCUGUGACCUUGGCCGGCCUUUCUAUCUCCUUUUGCCGGAGUCACAUCCCCUUAUCUCCAAGUGCCCUUCUGUUAACAGUACAUCACAAUAGUUGUCUUAUUACAUUCUUGUGGUAGCCUUGUCGCCCCUUAAAACAUUCAAAGUUCUCUUCACAAGUAAAAACAAUGUGCUACCACAGCUAUACUUUAUUAUUUUGCGACAAUAUCUCUUUAAAUGUUGCCCAAGUUGAUAUUGAAGUCAUUCCGGGACCCAAGCUAUUCUCUUACUUAAAACCCCUAAACAGCAGGCCUAUAUUACCAUGGCAGACUUCAAAAAAAUAUCAUCAUCAUACCAGGGCAAAUUAAUACUGUGAUAAAUACCAAUUUUUAUCUUUCAGCAGUUGAUAAAUAUUUAUUAUUACAAUAUAGCUCAUAGUCAAAUAAGGAAACAUGAAUUGUAUUGGACUCAUGGUUUUAAAAUGUUAGAAUGCAAAUUAUUAUAUCUGAGAAUUCAUGUGUUAUUUUAAAAGUCAUCCCUGAAUAAUAAUUUAAUUAUAUAAUAAUAAUAAAAUAUAUAAUAAUAAAUAAUAAUAUAUUAAUAAUAAUUUAAAAUUAUUCACAUACAGGUCAUUUAUAAUUGUUAAUUGGUAGACCUAGUUUUGCUGUGCUUUUGUUUUUGCAUAGAAUAAAAAGUAUGUGUGAUGACUUGGAUGAAAAUGCCCCUGUAGGCUCAUAUAGGAAGUGGCACUAUAAGGAGGUGUGGCCUGUUCGAGUAGGUGUGGCCUUGUUGGAGUAUAUAAGGCCUUGUUGGUGUAGUUGUGACUUGUUGAAGAAAUGAGUCACUGCUGAGGGGGCUUUGAGGUUUGAGGUGCUCUCUUCCUGCUGUCUGCUGAUCCAGAUGUAGAACUUUUACCUCCAGCACCAGGUCUGCCUGAAAGCUACCAUAAUGACCAUGAAGAUGGUGGACUACACUUCUAAACUGUAAUUAAGGGUUUUCUUUUAUAAGAGUUACUGGGGUCAUGGUGCUUCUUCACCGCAAUAAAACCCUAGCUAAGACACAACAAAAGAAGAAAACAUAAAGGAUGGGUUUUUAUAAUUCAUAAAAGAGACUCCUGCUCUUAAAAUAAUGAACUGAAAGAUAAAUGAAUCCAGGUAAUAAAACUUGUGCCUGAAGAAUCUUUUCAUAUGUAUAUGAGAAGGCCACACAUUGUAGGAAUGUAGAGUGAUAAACAGUCACUUCAGACUGAAUGCCAAAAGCCUUUCAAGUACACAGGGCGCCUGUCUCACAGAUGUUACCAAGAGCCAUCUGAACAUAUAAGCAAGGCACCCAUUGCAUUAAAACUCUUCUUCUCAAGUCCCUCACAGAUGUUUUCACGGCAUUUGACGGUUGAAAGUCGCAGACUAGCACUGCACAUUAACAACAUCGGAAGGAGCAUCUUGUAGUAUUGAGCAGAGCAUUUGCACCACCAAUAGCUUCUGUUUGUAUUGUCUCUCAUCAGAUAUUCAGUCAAUAGCUGAAACAUUUAUUCACAGUUAGUCAACUUUAACACCAGGAAACCAGGGGUGGAAUAAACUGUGCUAUUAAUUUUCCGUUGGAGAUUCAUGUUUGAAUGACCAUGCGUUUCAUAGAUUUAAAUACCAGAAAGCUAAUUAUCCCAAAAGCCCCAUUAAAAGGAUAGCAUAGAUUGCAACUGGAAACAAUCCUGGCAGGGCUGCAACACUCUUCCCACCUUUCUGCCAUGGAGGUCCUUCCCCUACCCAUCAUGCCAUGCGUCCCCCUAAGGAUAUUUUUCUAAAACCUUAGAAAAAUACGCCUUAACAUUUUCUUAUUCACAGAUAUUCAUCAUUUCAUAAAAUAAAUGUAAAUACAAAACCAAUCCCUGUAAUUUUCAGUGUUCAAAGUCGUUUGUAUAUUCUUUUAAAUGAUUCUCACCAAGUGCUCUUUUUUUCCCCAUUCUGAUGCCUUCAAACUCACACUGUACCUCAUAGGACAGGAAUACUAUUUAUUACUAUUCUGUUUUUAUUCUUUAAAAAAAUAAUCCAAGUUCGAAAUUGAUAAGACUAGGGGUCAUAAUAGUUUGCCCCACAAUAUGGCAUCACAGCGUUUGGGACAUCAGCAGACAUAAAAAGCUACUCACACUUUUCCCACCAAUCUUCAAGGAAGCAGGUCACAAAGGUGGGGGCGGAAAAUAAAAACCCCACGACCUUGUCCUGAAGCAAAUUGUAAGUCUUCAUUUUGAGAGACACCGGCUCAUCUCCAAAGAGAGCCACAGGCCCAGAGAUGUCAGAAAUCUGAGUGAACAUGGCUUGCUGUGUUCCCCUCAGUUUACUGAGGUUACAUCACAUCACUUUGUCCUCCUCUGGCACGCUCCUCCUCAGCUGACCCACAGUUGACCUUCUCCUCAUCAUACCCAAGCACAAAAAUUCAUCCAUGUCUCUGCCUCUCUGGGUUGUCUUUCUCAACAGUUUCCACGUUACUUAGAGUUUAUAUUUAAUAAAUUAUUCUGCCAUAUCUCAUUAUGCUGUCAAAUUUUUGCUAAAAGGUCCUUGGCCAUUAGACUAGAAAUGGGUAAGGGAAAAAAAAAUCUUUCCCCACCUUACAGAUGAAACCCUGCUGGGUAAGUCUGUAUGUCUGAAAUUUAACUGACAUAGCAAACACUUCCAAAGCACCCUUGAGUGCCUGAGAAAACAAGAACACCAUAUCCUGUCAAGGUAAGUUCUCUAUUUCCCCCACUUGACACUAACUAAAGAAAGAUAAUAGAAUUGAACCCAUCAAUAUUAUCUACUGGAUGCUAAAACCGUAGGGCAGAGACUACUUUGUAUUUCUUGUCAUAUUCUUGAGGAAAUGAUAGAUUUCUGGUGUUUUUUAAAUGGGUCAGGACAAAAUAAUGAUGGUCAAACCAAACAAAGAACUGACUGACUAAGCAGAGACAAGUGUUCACUCAUCACAGUGACUACCUAUGCUGGGCUUUUCAUCACGUGAAUGAUUCUGCCCUAAAGUCGUCUAGUUUCUUUUCACAUGAUUUUAGUUAAGUGGCUGUCUAUUGAUCCACCAACUAUCCCAGAUUUAUAUUAUCUGAAAAAUUAGGAGAUGUGAAUAUUCAGGUCAUUGGAAAAAUACAAAUGGACAAACUGAUAUCUAAUAUUUACAUCAACCAAAGCUCUUAAGAAUCUGGGGAGACAAAGCCAAAAUUUCAAUCUUAUAUGUGAUGGUGAACAAACUGUUAAGGUUUUGACUUUGUACAUCCAGUCUUCACAAACACUAACUUUCUGAGGCAAUUUUUCUCUAAACACAAAUGGAUUUGCUUAUGUAUUUGCAUUCAGAGAACGCCGAGUUACUGGCAGAGGUUUCAGAUCUCCCCAUUGUCUUUAAAAACAAAACAAAACAAAACAGAAAAUAGAAUAAAACAAAACUAAUCAGAAAUCUAAUCCCAGCACUCUGGAGGCAGAGGCAGGUGAAUCUCUGUGAGUUUGUCCCCAGCCUGAUACACAGAGUUCCAAGACAGCCAGGGCUGUUACAAAUAGAAACUCUGUCUUGGAAAAUAGAUAGAUAGGUAGGUAGGUAGGUAGAUAGAUAGAUAGAUAGAUAGAUAGAUAGAUAGAUAGAUAGAUAGAUAGAUAGAUAGAUAGAUAGAUAGUUGGAUAGAUAAUUUAAAAAAAUUUCAACCAUCCCAUACCCACACUAAACAAGGUAAAACAAAGCCAACGGAGAGAACGAGCUGGUUUGAGUAUUGUUUUCUUUCAUACUAAACAACCCGUUUCGUCUGGAAACUAACUUUCUAUAAGUGAGGCAUCUAAUCACAAUCCUGUGUGGAGUCUUGAGUACUAUUUUGGAAGAGAACUAAGAUAAUUUCAAAUAUCCUAUAUCGUUUCUUGCCCUCUACGAUUCUGACUGCUAAUUCUGAAUGAGCUGACAAUUCAGUGUAUAAAUCAAAUCUACUCAGUGACUCCGAAAGAACGGAGACUUAGGUGUUACACCAAACUCAGCCCUGACAGGGCAGUGCACAUGCCUCAGCCUGCACCUUACCUUCGCUCUAGUCUAUAUUCCUCGGCCUUUAAAGAAGGUGGAGUCACCAGCUUCCUUUUCACCACAGACACAUUCUUUCCAUUCCCACCCUGCACGCACUCUCAGAAAUUCCUUUACCUCAAUAUGGCACAUUAUCAUUUUUUUUCCUCAGACGCCCAGACACGUGAUCACCAACAGAGACAAUUCACAACUGUACACAUUUAUAAAAACACAGAAAGUACCUGGACAUAGGCUCUGCAAGAGCGCUCUCUUUUCUGAAGCUGAAUCCAUUAAGACAGCAGAUUAAACACAGAAUAGAAAAAACAAGUUAGUGACAGAAGAAAAAUAAAAAGGAAACAUCUACAUAAACACCUCAUUUUUUUUCUUUUUUGAUUUCACGACUUUCAUAGCAGAAAACGAAGGUUGUGCAGCAGUAAUACAGUGGCCAAAACCCCUUUUUUUAGACCAGCCCACCUAAACAACAGAUAGUGGAAGGCUGCCGAUAGAAAGAAACCUUUGAAUAAAUUUAGUAGACAUUAGUACAAAUCAAUAAACAUUCAUGUGAAAUGAUCCAGGUCACAUCCGGUUAGUUACUCAUUCAUGAGCCACUAGUGGGGGACAUAAGAUGUUAGGUCAAUUAUGCAAAAAGUUUGGAACUCAUUAUAUUAAAGAGAGAUUAUGGGUGGUUUUCAAGACAGCCUAGAUGAUUGACGUGUGCUCAUAUGAAGUGUUCAUUCAUACCUUCAAAAAUUCUAUUAUAAGGAAGAUAGAAAUGCCCAUUCAUUGUGACUAUUUAAGCCUAGGGGACGAAUACCAAAAGUCAGACAACUUCAGACUCACGGGGUGUGAUUCGUUUCCUGACUUGCUGCUGCUUUUAUUUCUUACAGAAUUCUGUUUGACAGUCUUGGCCAAAAUAGAAAACAUUUUAGAAACUGGUGGGGUAAGAAGCUUGAUUUAAUUUGUUUUUGUUGACACAAGUUUGUAUUCCGGCCCAAAAUAUUUUCUCCUGGUGCCCAAAUGAAGAAUCAAUCAAUAACCCUUCAUUCAUGUUGUUUAAAUGAGUGACCCAAAUUUUUAUAUAUCAGACUGUGGGGGAUUCAUCCCCCCCGCCCCGGUGUUAUUCGGUUCCCUUGGCCAUGAGCCUUGAAUUGCAAAAUAGAAUUCAGUUUUAGGGAGCAGUUGCUCUGACGCUUUUGGGGUAGUUAGCUACUAGUUACUGUACCAACUCUAAUUUGGGCUUUCUUCAGUGAGGGAGCAGUAACUCUGAUGAAGAACGCAGUCAGGGAUACAAGGCUGUCAUUCAGAUCAGUGACUCCCAUCCCGGGAAUGUAGGGCUCUGUCCCCUCCAGAAUUUCAAUGUGGGUGCAAUUGCUUUGUACCUAGUGGACUUUACAAAUCUGGUGGGCUAUUCCAGGCCCCAGGGAAAGUAGGAACCACCGGAAAUGAGAGCAAGCCAGCAAGCGCGUGAGUAACCUUUGCCCUCCCAUCUCUCUAGGCCGUCAUGCAAAUGAACAUAUGACAAACUGCAUUAUAUAAACAAUUGAAGAGAGCCAAAUGGGAAACAAAAGAGAGCAUUAAAAAGCCUUGGGAAUGGAAACUUGCCCAUUAUGUCGUUAUUUGAUAUUCAGCCUAGGCAAGCUGAUUAGCUGUAGCUAGUUAGAAUGUGACAUUAAUUUCCAGCUUUACCUGAUAGCCUCAGACAUCAACACCAUGUUUAAAAUAAGUUACGAAGUAUUGCAAUAACAAAUCAUGUUACAGAUAUGAAACAUUAAUAAAACUCAGUUCUCCCACCCCAUUAUGAUAAGAAUAGCUGGCAACCAUAUUCAUCAGCAGCAUCAAGUCAGCUAUGGCCACAUCACAUUUAAGUCACAGCAUGGCAGACCAUGUAGGUGACUGUUGAUUAUCCCAUCAGGGGCUUGGGUGUGACUCUAACAGGAGACAAGUUAAAAAGGAAACAAAGACAAAACCAAACCAAACCAAAACAAAACCCAAAAACUUUCUUGCUCAGUGUGAAAAAGAAAUCUAAUACAUUAUAUCUAAUAAACAAAGACUAAAAAUGUAUCUGAUCAUGACAGGUAAAUUAGCAGCAAGGGCUAUCUCAGUUAAAAUGUCUGGCUUUUUAAAUUUUGAACGUAUUAUAGAAAAGCAUUUCUCAGUUUAGAUGAGUGGUGACUUUUCUCCUCUAAGACAGAAUUAAAGAUAGUUAAGGACAAAUCUACAAUGUCUUUAUUUAUUUAUUUAUUUUUGAUGUUUUUAGCCAAAGGGGAAUGUUUUAAAAAUGAAUUUCUAAGAUGAACAUUACUCAAACUUUUCUUCAUUUUCAAAAUUGGAAAGACAAUGUUAAUAGUCCAAGUCAUAGAAUUCAGUUACAGCAUUUGAAACCAAGAGGUUAGUCUUCUAUUUAAUAUUUAGUUACACAUACAAAUGAUAGUCUUUAUAAAUAUGCAGUUUUUCUUUUGUGUUUUUAAUUUAUAUAAGAUAUUUGGCAAAUUAAAUGUUUAUUAAAGUAUGAAAAAUUCUAAAAUAUAUUUCUUCAAAUGCCACAUAUUUAAAUUUGCUUAUUU